rnacentral:rRNA from 1 species
CAGUAGCCACGGUAAUACGUAGGUGGCAAGCGUUGUCCGGAAUUAUUGGGCGUAAAGGGCUCGCAGGCGGAUUCUUAAGUCUGAUGUGAAAGCCCCCGGCUCAACCGGGGAGGGUCAUUGGAAACUGGGAAACUUGAGUGCAGAAGAGGAGAGUGGAAUUCCACGUGUAGCGGUGAAAUGCGUAGAGAUGUGGAGGAACACCGGUGGCGAAGGCGACUCUCUGGUCUGUAACUGACGCUGAGGAGCGAAAGCGUGGGGAGCGAACAGGAUUAGAGACCCCCGUAGUCCCUGUCUCUUAUAC